rnacentral:lncRNA from 1 species
AAAUAUAGAGUCCCUCCCCAAAGAGCUAUUGUUUGAAAUCCUCCUCCAUUUGCCGGCCGAUCAUCUCUACGAGAGAGCGAGGCUCGUGUGCCGGCGGUGGUACCACAUUAUCCAUUCUCAUGCCUUCAUCAACGCGCAGAUGCACGGUGCUACCUAUGGCCUCCUUUUAUCACCCCCAAACUGGAUUAAUACUCUGCCACUUUAUGUAACAGCCCACGCAGACGGUGGAAUCCACACAUCUAAGAUAACUCACCUCUCCAAAUCGAGAGUUGUUGCUACCUGCAACGGUUUGGAGUUGGAAGCCAAAGGUUACCAAUUCCCUCGUCUUGUGAUUGUGAAUCCUGCAACGAAGCAGUCAUUCCACCUCCCACCAUUGCCUACAAGCGUAAAUGUAAUCUAUGCCGUGCUCCGGUAUGGUUUUGCAUACUCUGCAGCUUCCUUGGCGUAUAAAGUGAUUGCACCGUACCUUUUUGGCCAAUCGCCACCACGCCUAGAAACUGACUGCGGUCUUGACGUGCUCACCGUUGGAAUCGAUGAAUCCUGGAGGCACGUUGAGGUUCACCACCUCCCCGACCAUUUCAGGCCAUUUUUGUUCUUCAUGGAUCCCUUGACUAGUGAAGGUUUCGUGCAUUGGGGAAGGGGGAGAUACUGCGCGACGAUGGAUGUGGAGACGGAGAUCAUUACACUGAGUGAAGCCCCUCAUCAGUACCAUGAAAACAACUAUAAAUAUCUGUCGACUGGGAGGUGUCUGUCUCUCCUGGUAGCGUGUGGGGAUCUGUCGUGGGAGGUUUGGGAGAUGAAGGCAGAGACGGGCGAGUGGAGGAAGGCGCUGCCCAACGUCGACUUGGGAGCUAAGAAAUGCAUGAUUCAACAGCUUGCUCCUAAAGAUGCUCCUCGAGUUCUUGUGCCACUUGGUUGGGUUAACUAUCCACAGGUUUUGGCCUUCUAUUUUGGCGAAGAUAUUUAUCAUGGGUGCCAAUGGCGGCCUUUCAUUUUCUACAAUCUUGAUACGCAUAAACUCUACUCCAUAGAGCUUCCACAAUCCAAUAUUAGUGAGUAUGGGGCUUUUCCGCAUAAGAAUAAUCUGACAUGGCUAAGCUAAAAGAGUAUUAUUGUUUAUAUUUGGUUUAAGUUAAAAGAAUUUAUAUAUUUUGGGGCAAUUUUAAAAAAUAUUUUAUGAUGUUUAUUUCUUCAAGACGCAUCAGCUCAUGUUGUCCAAAUAUUUUAUUUUAGUGAAAGAGUAGUAGUGUUGAAGGAGAUAGAAUAUUUAUAAUCACUUUUGAAUGGACACCUAUAACAAUCACAUUGCUAUUGGAUUACAAAUCAGCGUAUAUUCUGUUUGAGAAUAUUUUGAAUGAAAUUAUGUAAUACAAGCUCAAAAGUAAGGUAAAGUCAUUUUUGCAAUAACUCGUAUACACUACCCAUUGUCAAACACGCCAAAAAUGGGGUUAGAUCCAUCUGCUACAAAAUCUUAGGCAACGUGGUUUUGUUCGCAAAUUAGGCAAACAAGUAAUUUCUUUGUACAAUACAUUAUUCAUUUUAGACUUAGUGCAUGUUUGGUUCAAGUAGAGGAAUUGAAAGAGAAUGGAAUCAAAUAGAGGAGUGGAAUGGUUUUAAUAACUAUUACUUUUAUUGAGUGUUUGGUUUAACCAUGGAAAUGAAUCAUUAGUAAGGGAUUCCCUUUCCUUUUGUUUUCCCUCUAUUUUGAGGGAUAAUAAAUUAGGUGAUUGGGUUACCCUCAAGUCAGGGUAAUGGUUAACUCAUCACCCAAACCAAACAUUGAGUAAUGGAUUCAAUUAAUUGAUUCCCUUUCCAAUCUCUAAAAACACCCAACCAAACGUGGGCUAAUAGUGCUAUGCUAUGUAUGUAGAUCCAUAUGUUGUUGCUAGGAAGCACCGGUACGUUUUUGGGUGAAGCGUCCUGGUAUUAAUACCAAAAAAUACCAAGACGUUAAAAAUACGCCUAAACGAUGUAUUUAAUACGUUUUUUCGUAUUUUUUUUAAACUUACUUUUAGGGUUGGGAAAUGCGUAUUUAAUACGUUCUCGAGACGUUUUUUGACUAAAAAAUACGUCUGACCAGAUUUAAAAAAAAAAGAAAAAAAAAGAAAAAAAGAAGAAAACCAGACCCACUCUCAUUUCUCUCGUAAACCUUCACCCACCCUGCGCAAGAAGACAAGGCAGCGCCGUUCUCCGCCACCGAUCUGGACCGCCGCCUUCUGGACUGCCGUAAUUGCUAAGAUUAUCUAAUUUUUGUGGGUAUUUAACGUAAGACAUCAGUGGGUAUUUUUUGGAAUUGAAUCUUUGAUUUGUGUGAGGUAGGGUGAGUGGGUUAACUAAUACUCCCUCCGUCCCAUUGGGCUUGUCCUAUUUGGUUUCGGCACGGUUAUUAAGGAGAGUAGUAGUAGUGUUAAGUGUGUAGAUAAAGUAGGAGAGAGAAGGUGAUAAAGUAGGAGAGAGAAAGUGAUAAAGUGAUAAAGUAUGAGUGUUAUUUAUAGAAAUGAGACAAGAUGGUGGGACAAACAAAAAAGAAAUACGGGACAAGAUCAAUGGGACGGAGGGGGUAAUUGAUUGUUUAUUGCUAUUGGGGUAUAUUGGCGGUGGGUAUGGGUGAGUGGGUUAAUUAAUAAUUGAUUGUUUAUUGCUAUUGGGGUAUAUUGGCGGUGGGUAUAUUAAUAUUGGGGUGGGUAGCAGAUUGCCUAAUUAGGCUAAUUUGUGAACUAACUUCUAAGUUUUAAUAAUUAAGUACUCCCUCCGUCCCAUUAUUCAUGACACGUAUUCCUUUUUGGGUUGUCCCAACCUACAUGACACAUUUCCUUUUUUGGAAAAAAUCAGGGGGCAUUUAAGCAUUAAUAUAUUCGCUAAUUAUCCACCUAAUCACUAAUUAUCCACCUAAAACUCAUUUCCUACUUCUUCUUCUCUCUCUCCUUCCCCCACCUACCAGCCGCCUCCCUUCUCUUCUAAAAUUCUCGGCCACCACCGCCCGUCGAUCUGCCGGCCACCACCGUCAUUUCCUCUCUUCCUCUAUUCUCAGUUUCUCACGCACCCACUCAACCAGUGAACCCAAAUCCUAAGUCUUCGCUCGUCGCCUCCACUUUUCUCUCUCCGUUGAAGAGCGCCGCCGCCGGCUUCGCUCUCCCCUCUCUCGCCAAAUUUUUCCGCUCGAUUCCCGGUGACGACAGCCAACCUCCGCCGCGCCCAAGCCCCUGCCUCCCUCUCUGAUCACUCCAUCGUGCCUCCUCCGUCGUCGACGAAAUCUUCAGCCCCACCGCCAGGAGACGCAGCAGCGGCGCGGUCCGCCUCCACCCUCGGCGUAGCCCCUUUCCGCCUCCACUCUAGUUUCUGGAUUAUCAAUUUUUGUCUUCAAUACUUGGGUUUCAAUGUUUGUGGGUAGAUCUGGUUUUGAUAUUUGUUUCGAUUUUGAUAUGGUGAUUGGGUUACUCGGUAUCAAGGAAACUCAUGACUACACGAUGUAUUUAAGUCAUUUCACGUUAAUUUUACCAAAGAAGAAUUUAUAGUUUGAGAAUGCUUCCCAAGGAAGGUUCAACUUCAAGCACUCACACCCUCCACCGUCAGGUGUUGUUUGGCUUGACGUAGCUAUCAAAUUGAGAUGUUGAUGUUGAGGUCAAUUGUGAAUUCUAAACAAGGCUACUAUUGUUGCUCAAUAUGGAAGGUAUCAAAUUUCGUUCUAUUUUAUGCUAAUGUUAUUCGAAAGAUGGAAAUUUUAGAGUUGUGUUUUGAUUUAUUCCAUUAAAAUUUUAGAGUUAAUUUAUUUAAAUUUUAUAAAUAAUUCAUCAAAGUCGGCAUUAAUUUGACCACCAAAAAAUUUGUGUUAAAAUUAUUCUGUUAAAAAAGUUAAUGUAUUUUUUUGUCGUAUUAAAAAUUAAAAUUCUUCCAAAGUUUAUAUCCGCCAAUUAAAAAGAAAGAAAAAAAAAGUUCGCUUGUAUUUACAUUUGGAUUUGGGCGGAAACUGCUGCAUUUAUUUGGACCCACACCCACCGCUUGUAAUAAUUCAUUUACUCCGCCGCCGCGUUCUACACAAUUCACCGGAAAUCGAAAAGUUGAAAUGCUUCGUCCGAAACUAGCCUCCCGCAAGCCGCCACCUCCACGGCGUUGCUGCACCGACGGCAGCGUUUCGGAUCCCCAUUCCGACAUUCUUAGUAGAGAUUCGGUAAGCACUCUCCCUUAUAUUUCAUAUGCAGAUGCCUCUCUUUCAAAAUUAGGUUACACCUCAAAUUCCUUAAUUAUGCGUAUACAUUUCAUAGAAAAGGUUUUUUUAUUUGAAAUUUAGGUUAGAGAUUAGUAUAAAAAGACAUUGAUAUGCAUAUGGCUGUCUUAUUCUCUGCAUUUAAGUUUUGGACAGAUAAAACACAUUUAUACAAAUUAGUGAAUUGGUUAGUCGAUUGAUUAGUAGAGUGAUGAUGUUGUACCAAAACAAAAAUUUGUUUAAUAGCCGUCUUACUCUCUGCAUUUCAAAUAUUUAGCUUAAAUUUGGGGCAGAUAAAACACUUGUAUACAAAUUAGUGAAUUGGUUAGUCGAUUGAUUAGUAGAUGAGACAUAUUUGCAGAUGAGACAUAUUUAUGACAAUAUCUGUAUUCAACAAGCAGAUGAUAUACAUUAGAAGUCGGGCUUAUUAUUCCCGGAGGUGUAAAAAGGGGAUGCCAACAAACAUAGAGUCCCUCCCCACAGAGCUAUUGAUUGAAAUCCUCCUCCGAUUGCCGGCCGGUCAUCUCUACGAGAGAGCGAGGCUCGUCUGCCGGCGGUGGUACCACAUUAUCCAUUCUCAUGCCUUCAUCAACACGCAGAUUCACGGUGCUACCUAUGGCCUCCUUUUAUCACCCCCAAACUGGAUUAUUACUCUGCCACUUUAUGUAACAGCCGACGCAGACGGUGGAAUUCACACAGCUAAGAUAACUCACCUCUCCAAAUCGAGAGUUGUUGCUACCUGCAACGGUUUGGAGUUGGAAGCCAAAGGUUACCAAUUCCCUCGUCUUGUGAUUGUGAAUCCUGCAACGAAGCAGUCAUUCCACCUCCCACCAUUGCCUACAGGCGUAAAUGUAAUCUAUGCCGUGCUCCGGUAUGGUUUUGCAUAUUCUGCAGCUUCCUUGGCGUAUAAAGUGAUUGCACCGUACCUAGAAACUGACUACGGUCUUGACGUGCUCACCGUUGGAAUCGAUGAAUCCUGGAGGAACGUUGAGGUUCACCACCUCCCCGACCAUUUCAGGCCAUUUUUGUUCUAUAGGGAUCCCUUGACUAGUGAAGGUUUCGUGCACUGGGGAAGGGGGAGGUACUGUGUGACGAUGGAUGUGGAGACGGAGAUCAUUACACUGAGUGAAGCCCCUUGUGAGUACCAUGAACGCGACUAUUAUUAUCUGUCAACUGGGAGGUGUCUGUCUCUCCUGGUAGCGUGUGGGGAUCUGUCGUGGGAGGUUUGGGAGAUGAAGGCAGAGACGGGCGAGUGGAGGAAGGCGCUGCCCAACGUCGACUUGGGAGCUCAGAAAUGCAGGAUUCAACGUUUAGCUCCUAAAGAUGCUCCUCGAGUUCUUGUGCCACUUGGUUGGGUUAACUAUCCACAGGUUUUGGCCUUCUAUUUUGGCGAAGAUAUUUAUCAUGGGUGCCAAUGGCGGCCUUUCAUUUUCUACAAUCUUGAUACGCAUAAACUCCACUACAUAGAGCUUCCACAAUCCAAUACUAGUGAGUAUGAGGCUUUUCCGCAUAAGAAUAAUCUGAUAUGGCUAAGCUAAAAGAGUAUUAUUGUUAGUAUUAUUGUUUAUAUUUGGUUUAAGUUAAAAGAACUUAUAUAUUUUGGGGCAAUUUUAAAAAAUAUUUUAUGAUGUUUAUUUCUUCAAGACGCAUCAGCUCAUGUUGUCCGAAUAUUUUAUUUUAGUGAAAAGAGUAGUAGUAUUGAAGGUGAUAGAACAUUUAUAAUCACUUUUGAAUGGACACCUAUAACAAUCACAUUGCUAUUGGAUUACAAAUCAGCG